CUAUACAUGACUCUGCGCAUAUCAAUAAGCGGAGGAAAAGAAACUAACAAGGAUUCCCCUAGUAACGGCGAGUGAAGCGGGAAGAGCUCAAAUUUGAAAUCUCAAAGGGUUUCCCUUUACGAAUUGUAGUUUAAAGAAGUGUUUUCUGUUGAGGUUUUGGUAAAAGUUCUUUGGAAUAGGACAUCAUAGAGGGUGAGAAUCCCGUAUUUGACCUUUACUUUCAACUUUGUGAUACACUUUCAAAGAGUCGGAUUGUUUGGGAAUGCAGUCCAAAAUGGGUGGUAAAUUUCAUCCUAAAGCUAAAUAUUGGCGAGAGACGGAUAGCGAACAAGUACCGUGAGGGAAAGAUGAAAAGAACUUUGAAAAGAGAGUUAAACAGUACGUGAAAUUGUCAAAAGGGAAGCGUUUGACACCAGUGUUGUUUUUCUGAAAAUCAAUUAAAGAACUGUUUAUGCUAAGCUGUUUAGACUUUAUCAGCUAUCUGUUUAGUUUUGAGCUUUUCUUUAAUGCACUUUUCAGUUAACAAGUCAACAUCAAUUUCUUUUGCUGUAAAAAAGCUUGAGGAAGGUGGCUUGAGAUUCGUCUUAAGUGUUUAUAGCCUCCUGCCUAUGCAGUCGGAGAGAUUGAGGUCUGCAGCGUAGAUCCUUCGGGGCUAAAUGCAUUUGUGCUAAGUUAUAGCAUUUUAUAGACAACUUGUUGACUAUGAUUUGUCUUGUAGCUUACUCGCUUAUGUUAUUUUACCUACGCUUAGGAUGUUGAUCUACAGAGCGAGAGU
rnacentral:rRNA from 1 species